rnacentral:misc_RNA from 1 species
GAGCCGAGCCGAGCCGAGCCGAGCCGAGCCGAGCCGAGCCGAGCCGAGCCGAGCCG